ensembl:lncRNA
GUGAUUCUAUAAACUUCCCUAAAUGUCUUCAUCAACCAUGUGAAUUACCUGUUUCUGGAGGUUGAUUUCUACUUUUUUAGUUUUCUUACUCAUGUGGUCGGUUUUUCAGUUUUGAUCUCAUUCUAAAAUAGAUACAUGGUAACUGGUCAGAUAUAUUUUUAUAUAGCACAGGAUUCUUGACAGACAUGUCAAACUGAACUGACAUUUUGCCCAUUUUAAGUGCCUACAGACAUAGUGAAAUGGCCCUGUUCAUCUUCAUAACAUUUUAUCUUUUACUGGAGGUUAAAUUGCAAGGUUUGGCCACCAUGUCGUCUUUGCCACCAAUCACAGAGGGCAGCCCAACUACAGUGAUUCCCAAUGGAACCUUACAAGUGAAUUUGUCCACUGCAUCAACAGUGAACACAACAUUUUUGGGUGUAACAUCCACUACUGAGUCUGAAAUCACAACAGACCUGAUAACCAAUAUGUCAAGUCUAAGUUCCCAAGACAACCAUAGUUUAAAAGAUCCUGCAAACGCAUCCUUAGAAUCGACUACACUUACUGAUAAUACAGAACGUGCUUCAGUUUUCCCCUUGAUGACUAAAGGCCCUGAAAUCAGAAAGUACUCAAAUACAAAAAUGUUCUUCCUCAUUGCUGUGGUUGCAUCUGGUGGAGGAAUUGUACUGACUGGACUCGUGGGCACCUGUUUGUACAGACGUACACGAAAGUCAAAGGCAGAGAGGAUUUGGAUCGAAUCGAGCAGCAAAAAACACAAACAGGGACAUUCUUUACCAGUGGCCAGUUCAGACUCAUCUGGAGAGGAAGAUACAGUGCUUUACUCAACCAUCAACUUCAUUCAACCCCCCUCUCAACCACCAGGAAACAAUGAAGAAUCAAUUCAAAAUGAGGUUGAACUGAAUCAUUUGUAUUACACCGUCAUAACCAAACCGGCAAUCUCCAGUGACAGCAGGAGUGUUUACAGUCAGCUGAAGAUUCACAUGAACAAAAUAACCACAUCAGAAGGCACACAGCAUGAAUAUGCAUACUUUUAAGCAAUAAUAAUUGUUAUUGUGAAUGGCAGUUGUAUAGAUCAACAUAAGGACAGUCAUAUUUCCUCCUGUUACUUGUGUAAAUAUUUUCACCUGAUGUUUAUUAUUUUAAGCGCUUCAUUUUUAUGUUUCUCUUUUUGUUCCUUUUGUACUUUUCCGCUGUUCCUCAAAGUUAUGUCUAAAAUCUCUUUGAAGCCUGGAGUAAUGGCUGCUGAAAAUCCCACUUUGUCAUCACAGGAAUAAAAUAUAUUCAAAUAGAAAACUGUUAUUUUGA